GGAAGAUGGUAAUAAUCACGCAUAGAAACUGCCUGCUGAAAAUAGAUGUAACGAUUAUUGGGUUUUGCAACAUUUCAGAAUAAAAGAUAUGAAAGACGCAGAGCCUGAUAAUCAGUAAGUUUAAAUUUGACUGUAAUAAGUAUUUCACAUAUUAUAUUUUUUAUAUAUUUUCAGAUGGAAAGUUGCGAAAUGUACGAUAAAGUUAAGAACCUCCGAUAAUAAUCCGCGUGAUGCAAAUUUCAUAAUAAAGAUGAAUGACGUCAUUUAGUCAGGCCUUGCCAGGUUCAAUAACGAU